rnacentral:rRNA from 1 species
UUGGUUAAGUUAGAAAGGGCGCACGGUGGAUGCCUUGGCACUAGGAGCCGAAGAAGGACGGGACUAACACCGAUAUGCUUUGGGGAGCUGUACGUAAGCGUUGAUCCAGAGAUUUCCGAAUGGGGGAACCCACUAUCUUUAGUCGGAUAGUAUCCUUACGUGAAUACAUAGCGUGAGGAAGGCAGACCCAGGGAACUGAAACAUCUAAGUACCUGGAGGAAGAGAAAGAAAAAUCGAUUUCCUGAGUAGCGGCGAGCGAAACGGAAAGAGCCCAAACCAAGAAGCUUGCUUCUUGGGGUUGUAGGACACUCUAUACGGAGUUACAAAAGAAAGUUAUAAAUGAAGCGGUCUGGAAAGGCCCGCCAAAGACGGUAACAGCCCGGUAGUUGAAAUGGCUUUCCCUCCAGAGUGGAUCCUGAGUACGGCGGAACACGUGAAAUUCCGUCGGAAUCCGGGAGGACCAUCUCCCAAGGCUAAAUACUCCCUAGUGACCGAUAGUGAACCAGUACCGUGAGGGAAAGGUGAAAAGCACCCCGGAAGGGGAGUGAAACAGUUCCUGAAACCGUGUGCCUACAAGUAGUUAGAGCCCGUUAAUGGGUGAUAGCGUGCCUUUUGUAGAAUGAACCGGCGAGUUACGAUUUGUUGCAAGGUUAAGCGGAAAAAGCGGAGCCGUAGCGAAAGCGAGUCUGAAUAGGGCGCAUAAGUAACAGGUCGUAGACCCGAAACCAGGUGAUCUACCCAUGUCCAGGAUGAAGGUAAGGUAAUACUUACUGGAGGUCCGAACCCACGCACGUUGAAAAGUGCGGGGAUGAGGUGUGGGUAGCGGAGAAAUUCCAAUCGAACUUGGAGAUAGCUGGUUCUCUCCGAAAUAGCUUUAGGGCUAGCCUCGAGGUAAAGAGUCAUGGAGGUAGAGCACUGUUUGGACUAGGGGCCCUUCUCGGGUUACCGAAUUCAGAUAAACUCCGAAUGCCAUGUACUUAUACUCGGGAGUCAGACUGCGAGUGAUAAGAUCCGUAGUCGAAAGGGAAACAGCCCAGACCACCAGUUAAGGUCCCCAAAUAUAUGUUAAGUGGAAAAGGAUGUGGGGUUGCUUAGACAACCAGGAUGUUGGCUUAGAAGCAGCCACCAUUGAAAGAGUGCGUAAUAGCUCACUGGUCGAGUGACCCCGCGCCGAAAAUGUACCGGGGCUAAACAUAUUACCGAAACUGUGGAUGAACCUCUUUAGAGGUUCGUGGUAGGAGAGCGUUCUAAGGGCGGUGAAGUCAGACCGGAAGGACUGGUGGAGCGCUUAGAAGUGAGAAUGCCGGUAUGAGUAGCGAAAGAAGGGUGAGAAUCCCUUCCACCGAAUAUCUAAGGUUUCCUGAGGAAGGCUCGUCCGCUCAGGGUUAGUCGGGACCUAAGCCGAGGCCGAUAGGCGUAGGCGAUGGACAACAGGUAGAGAUUCCUGUACCAGUGCUAAUUGUUUAACCGAUGGGGUGACACAGAAGGAUAGGGAAUCGCACGAAUGGAAAUGUGCGUCCAAGCAGUGAGUGUGAGAAGUAGGCAAAUCCGCUUCUCGCGAAGCAUGAGCUGUGAUGGGGAAGGAAAUUAAGUACGGAAGUUCCUGAUUUCACGCUGUCAAGAAAAGCCUCUAGGAAGAGUAGUACUGCCCGUACCGCAAACCGACACAGGUAGAUGAGGAGAGAAUCCUAAGGUGAGCGAGAGAACUCUCGUUAAGGAACUCGGCAAAAUGACCCCGUAACUUCGGGAGAAGGGGUGCUCUAUUAGGGUGCAAGCCCGAGAGAGCCGCAGUGAAUAGGCCCAGGCGACUGUUUAGCAAAAACACAGGUCUCUGCAAAACCGUAAGGUGACGUAUAGGGGCUGACGCCUGCCCGGUGCUGGAAGG